GGCCCCAUAGCUCAGCCGGUAGAGCGAACGCUGUACAAAGCGUAGGUGGCAUCCAUGCGUGGAUUCGAAUCCCACUGAGGCCA
rnacentral:tRNA from 1 species